rnacentral:rRNA from 1 species
UACGUAGGGUGCAAGCGUUAUCCGGAAUUAUUGGGCGUAAAGGGCUCGUAGGCGGUUUGUCGCGUCGGGAGUGAAACCAUGAGCUUAACUCAUGGCUUGCUUUCGAUACGGGCAGACUAGAGGCAUGCAGGGGAGAACGGAAUUCCUGGUGUAGCGGUGAAAUGCGUAGAUAUCGGGAGGAACACCUGUGGCGAAAGCGGCUCACUGGACCACAACUGACGCUGAGGCGCGAAAGCUAGGGAGCAACAGG